GACGAACGCUGGCGGCGUGCUUAACACAUGCAAGUCGAACGGAAAGGCCCUGCUUGCAGGGUACUCGAGUGGCGAACGGGUGAGUAACACGUGGGUGAUCUGCCCUGCACUUCGGGAUAAGCCUGGGAAACUGGGUCUAAUACCGGAUAGGAGCCAUUUUUAGUGUGAUGGUUGGAAAGUUUUUUCGGUGUAGGAUUAGCUCGCGGCCUAUCAGCUUGUUGGUGGGGUAAUGGCCUACCAAGGCGGCGACGGGUAGCCGGCCUGAGAGGGUGGACGGCCACAUUGGGACUGAGAUACGGCCCAGACUCCUACGGGAGGCAGCAGUGGGGAAUAUUGCACAAUGGGCGCAAGCCUGAUGCAGCGACGCCGCGUGGGGGAUGACGGCCUUCGGGUUGUAAACUCCUUUCGCUAGGGACGAAGCUUUUUGUGACGGUACCUAGAUAAGAAGCACCGGCUAACUACGUG
rnacentral:rRNA from 1 species